GACGAACGCUGGCGGCGUGCUUAACACAUGCAAGUCGAGCGGUAAGGCCCUUUCGGGGGUACGACGAGCGGCGAACGGGUGAGUAACACGUGGGUGACCUGCCUUUAGUCUCUGGGAGUAAGCCUCGGGAAACCGGGUCUAAUACCGGAUAUGACUCCGCGGCGCAUGUUGUGGGGUGGAAAGCCUUGUGCGGCUGGAGAUGGGCCCGCGGCCUAUCAGCUUGUUGGUGGGGUGAUGGCCUACCAAGGCGACGACGGGUAGCCGGCCUGAGAGGGCGACCGGCCACACUGGGACUGAGACACGGCCCAGACUCCUACGGGAGGCAGCAGUGGGGAAGUCUUGCGCAAUGGGCGAAAGCCU
rnacentral:rRNA from 1 species